GGGUGAGUAAUACAUCGGAACGUGCCCGAGAGUGGGGGAUAACGAGGCGAAAGCUUUGCUAAUACCGCAUACGAUCUCAGGAUGAAAGCAGGGGACCGCAAGGCCUUGCGCUCACGGAGCGGCCGAUGGCAGAUUAGGUAGUUGGUGGGAUAAAAGCUUACCAAGCCGACGAUCUGUAGCUGGUCUGAGAGGACGACCAGCCACACUGGGACUGAGACACGGCCCAGACUCCUACGGGAGGCAGCAGUGGGGAAUUUUGGACAAUGGGCGCAAGCCUGAUCCAGCCAUGCCGCGUGCAGGAUGAAGGCCUUCGGGUUGUAAACUGCUUUUGUACGGAACGAAAAGACUCUGGUUAAUACCUGGGGUCCAUGACGGUACCGUAAGAAUAAGCACCGGCUA
rnacentral:rRNA from 1 species